GGUAGUUCUUGGGUGACACACCCCAGAAAUAGGCUCCCUCCUUUCUGAUUCCAGAGUGCGCCACCCAAGAACCGCU
rfam:Myotis lucifugus cont2.7108, whole genome shotgun sequence.